AGAAUCAACGCUGGCGGCGUGCCUAACACAUGCAAGUCGAACGAGAAAGUGGAGCAAUCCAUGAGUACAGUGGCGUACGGGUGAGUAACACGUGACUAACCUACCCUCGAGUGGGGAAUAACCUCGGGAAACCGGGGCUAAUACCGCAUAACAUCUACGGAUCAAAUGCGUAAGCAGCUUGAGGAGGGGUCGCGGCUGAUUAGCUAGUUGGCGGGUAAUGGCCCACCAAGGCGGUGAUCAGUA
rnacentral:rRNA from 1 species